UACGUAGGGGCCUAGCGUUGUCCGGAAUUAUUGGGCGUAAAGAGCUUGUAGGCGGUUUGUCGCGUCUGCUGUGAAAAUCCGGGGCUCAACCCCGGACUUGCAGUGGGUACGGGCAGACUAGAGUGUGGUAGGGGAGACUGGAAUUCCUGGUGUAGCGGUGAAAUGCGCAGAUAUCAGGAGGAACACCGAUGGCGAAGGCAGGUCUCUGGGCCACUACUGACGCUGAGAAGCGAAAGCGUGGGGAGCGAACAGG
rnacentral:rRNA from 1 species